rnacentral:rRNA from 1 species
GACGAACGCUGGCGGCGUGCUUAACACAUGCAAGUCGAACGGAAAGGCCCUGCUUUUGUGGGGUGCUCGAGUGGCGAACGGGUGAGUAACACGUGAGUAACCUGCCCUUGACUUUGGGAUAACUUCAGGAAACUGGGGCUAAUACCGGAUAGGAGCUCCUGCUGCAUGGUGGGGGUUGGAAAGUUUCGGCGGUUGGGGAUGGACUCGCGGCUUAUCAGCUUGUUGGUGGGGUAGUGGCUUACCAAGGCUUUGACGGGUAGCCGGCCUGAGAGGGUGACCGGCGACAUUGGGACUGAGAUACGGCCCAGACGCCUACGGGAGGCAGAAGUGGGGAAUAUUGCACAAUGGGCGGAAGCCUGAUGCAGCAACGCCGCGUGCGGGAUGACGGCCUUCGGGUUGUAAACCGCUUUCGCCUGUGACGAAGCGUGAGUGACGGUAAUGGGUAAAGAAGCACCGGCUAACUACGUG